UCGAGGUGUGUGGAAGUUGUGCCGUUGCUGCCGGGUGGCCAAGUGGCCAAGGAGGAUUCUGCAAGCUGUAUAGGUCGUUUGAGAACACAUGAGGAGCUCCUGCUACAUUGUUCUGCUGACUAUAUUCCAGCUUUAAGAAAGCCUGGGAAGAGAUUAGGACACUGUCGCACACAGUGGGAAGACCACGUGAGGACACAGUGAAAAGAUGGACAUCUAUCUACAAGCCAAGGAGCGAGGCCUCAGAAGAAACCAACUCUACCAACUUCUAGCCGUCAGAAUGAGUAAAGGGAAAGAACCACGUUACCUGUCAACGCUGAGAGCGCAGAGAUUGAGGACGGUGAUCCCCACCGAGGACUUCUGCAAAAAGGGGAACAACUUGCAGAGAAAUACGCCAAAGUCAUUGUGAUCAAAAGGCCAGCGCCCAGCCAGCAGCUGAAAACAGGAAAGAGCAUGGUUCCUCCUGCCUCCCAACCAGCCCAAGAAUUUGGAAAGCAUGACAUCCUUAGAGCAGAGCAGACACUCCACAGAUGUUCUCGACUCUGGGUGCCCUCCGUGACCUGGGGGGAUGGAGAAGCACUCCUUUUAAUGAAAGCAAGUGGCUUGGUGUAGUAAAGAGCGUGGGCCCUGAAGCUCGACUUCCUGGGUUGGACUGAAUCCCAGCUCUGCUAUGUUUCACACCAUGUGCCCUUGGCAUGUUGGUUAACCUCGCUGCUUCUCAGUUUCCUCCUCUAGAAAAUGGAAAUGGUGAUGGCAGCUACCUCACAGGGUUACUGUGCGUGACAGAAGAGACAAUCCAUAGAAAGCAGUUAGCAGAAGUAAGUAUCUGGAAGUGUGAGCUAUUUGCACGGCCUGUGGUUAUCAGUCUCUACUUUCUGUCUGUUUUUUCCAGUGAGAUUGUGAAGGAUGGUCAUCCAGGUUACCAGGUACAGGAGGGUGGCAGACCCCACAGGUACAAAGGGCCCCAUUCACAAGGAAAUGACUACCCAGAAGAUGAACAGAUGUGACGGUCCCUAAAGAAGCUGCAAGCAACAUUCUGUGGGAACUCAGCCAAAGAAGGCUCCGGAACCCGGCUGCCUUGUACCCUACAUGACUUACGCAAGUGAACUGUGCCUCAAUGAAAACUGGAGAUGAAAACUAUGCCAUAUGGUUGACGGGAGUGUGAAAUGAAUUAAUCCAGGCAAAGCCCUUAGAACAGGGCUCGACCCGUCGCAGGCUGUAAAUGUUAGUUCUUGUAAGAGAUGGGUUUUGAGGAACUGCUCCAGCUACUCUGCACUUAGAUUAGAAAACUUGAGGUUGUUGCUACUACCCACUAUUCAUCUAUUUCACCAUUGAAUAUUCAGUGUUUCGGUGUUGGCUGAGGUCUUAACUUUUUAGAAUCUGAAAUACAUAGAUGUUAAUAACAACCAGGUGAAGGAGAGAAAAAAAAA